AUACGUAGGGAGCGAGCGUUGUCCGGAAUUACUGGGUGUAAAGGGAGCGUAGGCGGGAAUGUCAGUCUGUUGUGAAAUCUAUCGGCUCAACCGGUAGCUGCGGCAGAAACUACAUUUCUUGAGUGAAGUAGAGGCAGGCGGAAUUCCUAGUGUAGCGGUGAAAUGCGUAGAUAUUAGGAGGAACACCAGUGGCGAAGGCGACUUACUGGACUGUAACUGACGCUGAGUCACGAAAGCGUGGGUAGC
rnacentral:rRNA from 1 species